CUGUCUCUGUCUGAUCCUGCCUGUAACCUGUUCAUGCCAUUUCUUAUGGUUUUGAACUUCUGUCUGUUUAUGACCUGCUUGCCUGCCUUGCAGCUCUGGAUUUGUGUGCCUGUUUUGGGCUGUCUUCCCAUUGACAACCUAUAAGCCUGUUCCUGACCAUUGUAUCCUACCAAUUCUGAAAUCCAUUGUAAAUGGGUUGUGAAAAUAAGAAACAUUGGUCCAGAUAAGAAGUGGCCUGUGCCACAGCCUCUGUACAGUGCAGAAGAUGAAGACCCCUCCAGCCUGGACAGCAGACCUUCUGUUCAUGUCCACUCCGUCAUCAUCCUCGAAAGAAAUGUAGAGAUAGACAAAAGUUUGAACAUUCACAUUUUAUUAAUGUACUUGUCAUCUGAGCAGACCUGGCUGUGAUUCUCUUUUUCUCAGUAUUAAUGUGAAAAGCUAACCUCAUAUUACACGUCUAAUUGUUUGAAUGUAAUAUACAGUAAAAGGCAAUGUAAUACAGG